AGGACUAUAGUUAAAAAUAACAUUUGAUUUGCAAUCAAAAAGUAUUGAAAAAUUCAAUUUGUCUU
rnacentral:tRNA from 1 species